AUUGAAAAACCUUUUAUAUGUUGAAAUCUUCUCAAUGAAACUAAUUUGCAUCUAGUUGAAAUGUUUUAAACUAAAGAAACAGGCUUACUAAAAUUUUAGAGACGAUAAGUGUUCUGAAUUCAUUAAUACUUGGAGACUUUGUAAAAAAUUCAGAACCAGCGUAUAAAACAUGUAAAGGAUAUAAAAAUAUACUUUUUUACAGUAUAAAUGUUUCGAUAAAUCAACAUAAUCUUAAAAUAUUCGUGGAUUACACGCUUUAUUCAGAACUCGAAGAUGUCGAAGGCGAAUGGAUUAUCUAACAUCCUAUGUUACAGUAUCUAAAUAGUUCGUGAUUAUUGUAUAUAAGUUUUGUAAUCUGAGACUUAUGCAUAUCUUUUUCGACUGGUAAAGAUUAUCACUAGCAAGAAUUCCCACAUGUCUAGCUAUCUUUAAACACCUCCGUAAUCCACCUGUAUACCUUGGAAUACAUAUUCUGUCUUACAACCGGUUUCGUAUGUCACAACGUAUCAUAAAGCCACAAUAAUUCUUUUUCAUGUUCAAAUGAUAAAAGAAAAUACUCGGGACCACCCCUUCUCUUCGCUUUACUACUCUAAAUUGAAUAAUUGUUGUAGCACCUUUUUUGAUUUGACUCUUUAGUGCGGAAGGUGUCGAGAACACGAUCUGCAUCCUCCUUUCUCACGCUCUAUAACUAGGAAGCGGUUUACCUUUACAAAUGCCGAGCUGGGCCCACACAUAACUCUGUCGAAGAUUACUCUACGUAAAGAUAUAAGGCGUUUAAAAACAUCAUCCCGCGCUGAGAUAAAGUGUUUCGUGUUGUUUCUAAGUCGACCAGAGUCUAAAUCUUUGGACUUUAAUAAGCGUGAAGUUCAUUGAACAAAACUAGCAACUAGAAAAGUACAAUCGGUGUCGCUUUCGAUUUAAAGGCUGCACCGAUCGAGUGGCAUAUCCGCAUAAGGAACUAACACCAAACGCAUAUGCGUCCUGAGUUUUGCAACUGAAUGCAGAGUUGCAAAGAAUGGGGACACCAAGAACUUAUAGGUCGCAUGAUGGCAUUUUUACAGCAUUCCUCAAGUGUACUAAACGUGGGUUACUCAGAAGUCACCGUCCAUCAGAUAUGAGAAACGAAUCUGUCCCUUCCGAAUUCCAUCAUCUAAAUGGAGAUGCUACUACUAAA